UUCGGACAAAUGCUGCAUAAUUUUUAAUAUGUAGAGGAAAGUCCAUGCUCACACAGACCUGUGAUGGCUGUAGUGUUCGUGCUUAGGGAAAAAAUAACCUAAGGUAGCUUAAAGCUAACGGCGAGAAAAACUUCUAAAAGCGAUUGCUCAUGAAGGAGUAUCUCAUAAAGUGCCAUAGUAACGUACAAGCUGGAAACGGCAGAAAUGGAACGCGGUAAACCCCACGAGUGAGAAAUCCAAAAUAUGGUAGGAGAGUUCUUACAAAAGAAAAAAAUGGCGUAAGGAUCUAGUAUAACUAGAAGAUAAAUAUUUGUCGCCCGAAAGGGAACAGAACAUGGCUUAU
rnacentral:RNase_P_RNA from 1 species